GCCUGAGUGGCUCAGUCGGUUAAGCGUCUGACUUUAGCUCAGGUCAUGAUCUCACGGUUUGUGAGUUCGAGCCCCGCGUCAGGCU
rnacentral:tRNA from 1 species